rnacentral:rRNA from 1 species
AUUGAACGCUGGCGGCAGGCCUAACACAUGCAAGUCGAGCGGAUGAAGGGAGCUUGCUCCUGGAUUCAGCGGCGGACGGGUGAGUAAUGCCUAGGAAUCUGCCUUGUAUUGGGGGAUAACGUCCGGAAACGGGCGCUAAUACCGCAUCCGUCCUGAGGGAGAAAGUGGGGGAUCUUCGGACCUCACGCUAUCAGAUGAGCCUAGGUCGGAUUAGCUAGUUGGUGGGGUAAAGGCCUACCAAGGCGACGGUCCGCAACUGGUCUGAGAGGAUGAUCAGUCACACUGGAACUGAGACACGGUCCAGAAUCCUAAGGGAGGGAGCAGUGGGGAAUAUUGGAGCAUGGGCGAAAGGCUGAUCCAGCCAAGGCGCGUGUGUGAAGAAGGUCUUCGGAUUGUAAAGCACUUUAAGUUGGGAGGAAGGGCAGUAAGUUAAUACCUUGCUGUUUUGACGUUACCAACAGAAGAAGCACCGGCUAACUUCGUG